rnacentral:lncRNA from 1 species
CUUUUCUUCCAUUUCCCUCCUUUCUCUCUGUUUCUUUUCGGGGCAUAUUCUGGCACUUGCAAACAUCCACUCAGUCCAAUUCUCUGGGAGUUUCUGCAGGCUUCACUUCAUGUGACAGCUUGAAACAACAACAACAAAAAAGGCAACUUAAAAGCUUUCCUUCUUGUCUUCCCUAGACUUUCUUCUCAUCAUCUGGACUACCCCUCUAUGAAUGGUCUCCAGCAAGUAGUUUGCUGUUCUUCCAUGUAGCAAACUGCCUUGAGCAAAUGUACUUGUCACAGGAAAAGAGACUCGGAUGUGUACAAUUUUCUGCCUGUAUCUAGCAUUUGCAUGUACUUCAAGGACAGGCAGUGUAUAUGAAGGUUAUUUGUAUGAUGUAUGAGGCGGAGAGAAGAGACACAUACCUGUUCUGCGAUCAUAAUGAGGCAAGGACAAGAUGGUACCCAGACUGCUGCUGACAGAUUUCUAGUUCACAAACAACGUGACUAGAACUAACAGUUUAGGGGACAGCAACAGGUCUGAAAAGUUUCUAGGAGGACAAGGUUUGGGAAGAGAGGUUUAGGCACAUUUCAUCAGCGUUCUCCAAAACAAACUGACCCACAAGUUGUUAUCCCUUUCUAAAUUUGGCCUUUUAAUUUUCUGUGUUUAGGAAGUAAUGAUGACAGUGACUCAAUUCCCUGGUGUAUUCAGUCAAACAAAUCAAUAGCUGAGUGUCUAGGUUUAUUAAAUGUCUAAGAGAUCUUAAAUGUCAUAAAUGCGACUAGUGACAACUUCAAUAAAUGUAACAGAUGUAGAAAAUAUAAGGGCA